CUCCUCUUAUCCUUAGAGAAAAUAUCCCAGUUCGAUUCAUUCAACCACUCGUCCUCUCUCUCUCACUCUCUUUCUCCUGAAGAAAAGAACUCUCCCGCCAUUGAAUCUUUCCCACCGUUGAAAUCAGAGGAAGCUAGGUGGAAGAUCCAAUCUGAGAUUUCAUAAGGAGUUACUGCAGCUGCUAUUGCUAAGGACCUGCACCUAUUGUAGGUACAUUGAAAGAGGUAUAAAAAUGAUUAAUACUGAUUUUGAACCUUGACUAAGAAGCUGAAAUGUUUUGAGGGUUAGUGGUAGUUCAUUUUGGUGCUACCAGUUCACUUAAUAUCCGUAUUUACUAUUUUUCAUAUCCAGCUAUACGGUAUAGCACUUAGUUGGAAUAACUUUAUGUUGAUGUAAUGUAAGUUCAGCCUUUUAGUGGACAACACAAGCCAAAAAUAUCCAAUGCUCGGUGUAGGCUUGUGGGACAUGAACACAUCAUUGUGUGUUAGCAGGCAAAGGCAGAUAUUGAAAAAGCUGAAAUGACCAAUUCACAUUAAACCAUGUUUGUUAGUUUGUUUGAUACGAAUUUAAAUGUGAACUUGGGUCCUGUUUUACUAUUUUCUCUUGAAAAUGGUUAUAUUCAUUAUUUAGUUAAUGAGAGAUUGUCAAUGGAAAAAUUGUCUGUAUAUAUCAUGUCAGUUUUGAUAAAAGAUGUGAAUUUUUGUUAGUGACAGUCAUCUAGAAGAAAUCUUGAUGUUAAGUUUGAAUUAAGCUCAAAGACUAGCAUUGAUAGUUAA